UACGAAGGACCCGAGCGUUAUCCGGAUUUAUUGGGUUUAAAGGGUGCGUAGGCGGAAUAGUAAGUCAGUGGUGAAAUCCUGUUGCUUAACAACAGAACUGCCAUCGAUACUGCUAAUCUUGAGUACAUAUGAUGUGGGCGGAAUGUGCCAUGUAGCGGUGAAAUGCUUAGAUAUGGCACAGAACACCGAUUGCGAAGGCAGCUCACAAAACUGUUACUGACGCUGAGGCACGAAAGCGUGGGGAUCAAACAGG
rnacentral:rRNA from 1 species